AGAACGAACGCUGGCGGCAGGCUUAACACAUGCAAGUCGAGCGCUGUAGCAAUACAGAGCGGCGCACGGGAGAGUAAUACAUGGGAACCUACCUAUUGGUUCGGGAUAACGUCGGGAAACUGACGCUAAUACCGAAUAAGUCCUUCGGGAGAAAGAUUUAUCGCCGAUAGACGGGCCCAUGUUGGAUUAGCUAGUUGGUGAGGUAACGGCUCACCAAGGCUACGAUCCAUAGCUGGUCUGAGAGGAUGAUCAGCCUCACUGGGACUGAGACACGGCCCAGACUCCUACGGGAGGCAGCAGUGGGGAAUAUUGGACAAUGGGGGCAACCCUGAUCCAGCCAUGCCGCGUGAGUGAUGAAGGCCUUGGGUUGUAAAGCUCUUUUGGUGGGACGAUGAUGACGGUACCCACAGAAUAAGCCCCGGCUAACUUCGUGCCAGCAGCCGC
rnacentral:rRNA from 1 species